GUUCUCAGAACGUCUGUGGCUUCACGUGGCCCCACAGAACUGCCUCUGCCAGAGCAAAACGCAUCUCAAGAUCUGAUGCUGAGCAGCACUGCAUCAAUGGAGCCAGAUGAAUUUGCAUCUCAAGAUCUACUUCUGUGCAGCAGCCCCACACCACCGGAGCCAGAUGAGUUUGGUAUGAAAAGUCCUAGCAUGCUGUUUUUAUGCACUUUUUAU
rnacentral:lncRNA from 1 species